GACACUGCAAUCGCUUCGACGACAUUCCGCAAGGUUGUCUAGGAGUGUUGUUGUUGUGCUCGUUGGAUGCAUUUGCGUGCGGAGUGCGCCGAGUGGGUCGAUGUCGCUGCCGGAAGGGCGUAUAGAGGACUCGGGUUUUCGGACUCGAGAAUCCUGUGCGUUCGGAUAGCAGGUGAUGUUGGCUCGCUGAUGUGGAGUGCGGGUGAAUUCGCGAUGGGCAUCGGUUGUGAGUUGUGGUUGCGGAU
rnacentral:rRNA from 1 species